rnacentral:rRNA from 1 species
AAGUCGUAACAAGGUCUCCGUUGGUGAACCAGCGGGAGGGAUCAUUACCGAGUUUACAACUCCCAAACCCAUGUGAACAUUACCUCUAUGUUGCUUCGGCGGAGCCGCCCCGGCGCCCGGAACCCCUGCGGUCCCGCGGCCCGGAACCAAGGCGCCCGCCGGAGGCCACAAACUCUUCUGUUUUUACAGUUUCUUCUGAGUGUGCCGCAAGGCAGUAUACAAAUGAAUCAAAACUUUCAACAACGGAUCUCUUGGUUCUGGCAUCGAUGAAGAACGCAGCGAAAUGCGAUAAGUAAUGUGAAUUGCAGAAUUCAGUGAAUCAUCGAAUCUUUGAACGCACAUUGCGCCCGCCAGAAUUCUGGCGGGCAUGCCUGUUCGAGCGUCAUUUCAACCCUCGAGCUCCCUUUCGGGGGGGAGCCCGGCGUUGGGGACCCCGGCGCUAACAACGCCGGCCCCGAAAUGGAGUGGCGGCCCGUCCGCGGCGACCUCUGCGUAGUAACAACCACUCGCACCGGGACCCGGGCGCGGCCACGCCGUAAAACACCCCACCUUCCGAAUGUUGACCUCGAAUCAGGUAGGAAUACCCGCUGAACUUAA